rnacentral:rRNA from 1 species
UACGGAAGGGGCUAGCGUUGCUCGGAAUCACUGGGCGUAAAGGGUGCGUAGGCGGGUCUUUAAGUCAGGGGUGAAAUCCUGGAGCUCAACUCCAGAACUGCCUUUGAUACUGAGGAUCUUGAGUUCGGGAGAGGUGAGUGGAACUGCGAGUGUAGAGGUGAAAUUCGUAGAUAUUCGCAAGAACACCAGUGGCGAAGGCGGCUCACUGCCGCAUACUGACGACUG